GAUGAACGCUGGCGGCGUGCCUAAUACAUGCAAGUCGAGCGAACAGACGAGGAGCUUGCUCCUCUGACGUUAGCGGUGGACGGGUGAGUAACACGUGGAUAACCUACCUAUAAGACUGGGAUAACUUCGGGAAACCGGAGCUAAUACCGGAUAACAUGUUGAACCGCAUGGUUCAACAGUGAAAGACGGUCUUGCUGUCACUUAUAGAUGGAUCCGCGCCGCAUUAGCUAGUUGGUAAGGUAACGGCUUACCAAGGCAGCGAUGCGUAGCCGACCUGAGAGGGUGAUCGGCCACACUGGAACUGAGACACGGUCCAGACUCCUACGGGAGGCAGCAGUAGGGAAUCUUCCGCAAUGGGCGAAAGCCUGACGGAGCAACGCCGCGUGAGUGAAGAAGGUCUUCGGAUCGUAAAACUCUGUUAUUAGGGAAGAACAAAUGUGUAAGUAACUAUGCACGUCUUGACGGUACCUAAUCAGAAAGCCACGGCUAACUACGUGCCAGCAGCCGCGGUAA
rnacentral:rRNA from 1 species